AAUGAACGCUGGCGGCGUGGAUUAGGCAUGCAAGUCGAACGCGAAAGUUCCCUUCGGGGAGCGAGUAGAGUGGCGAAAGGGUGAGUAAUGCUUGGAUGACCUGCCCUCGAGACGGGGACAACAGUUCGAAAGGACUGCUAAUACCCGAUAGUCCGGUUUAGAUGCGUCUAGAUCGGUAAAUGGUGCUUCCGCUCGAGGAGGGGUUCAAGUCCUAUCAGCUUGUUGGUGAGGUAACGGCCCGACCAAGGCGAUGACGGGUAGCCGGACUGAGAGGUUGGCCGGCCACAUGGGAACUGAGACACUGUCCUGACUCCUACGGGAGGCAGCAGUGGGGAAUCUUAGACAAUGGGGGAAACCCUGAUCUAGCCAUGCCGCGUGGACGAUGAAGGCCUUAGGGUUGUAAAGUCCUUUCAGCUGGGAAGAUAAUGACGGUACCAGCAGAAGAAGCCCCGGCUAACUCCGUG
rnacentral:rRNA from 1 species